rnacentral:rRNA from 1 species
UCCAAGACAGGUGGUGCAUGGUGUCGUCAGCUCGUGUCGUGAGAUGUUGGGUUAAGUCCCGCAACGAGCGCAACCCUUGAUCCUUUAGUAGCCAGCAUUAAGUGGGGGGACACUNAUAGUGAAGAACANAGUGCCCAGUGGACAUAACCGUGGAGAGGGAAGUGGUGGGGAAGUACACUUUACAAUAUACUAUCACUAUGGCCCUCUUUAUGAGGCUCGGGGGUCUAAACCACCCUUGUGUCUAAAAAUGGGCUGAAAAAAGAGGAGGGAGAACUCUCGGGAAGGGCCUAGACCAAUAUCUCUCUCCAAAAAUCAAGUCUGUCUUCCAAUUUCCGGAUUUGGUAAUCUUGGGAAUUCCCGCACUUGACAUGGAAACUGGGAAAUUCCUUAAUAAAUUCGCGGAAUUCAAAAUGUCCGGGUGAAUACGUUCCCGGGUCUUGUA